CUGGGUAGCUACGUAUGGAUUAGAUAAUCGCUGAAAGCAUCUAAGUGAGAAACUAACCUCGAGAUGAGAUUUCCCAUUCGUCAGAAGUAAGACCCCUGAGAGACGAUCAGGUAGAUAGGCUAGAAGUGGAAGUGUAGUGAUGCAUGGAGCGGACUAGUACUAAUAGGUCGAGGACUUAACCAAG
rnacentral:rRNA from 1 species